rnacentral:rRNA from 1 species
GGCAACGGAUAUCUCGGCUCUCGCAUCGAUGAARAACGUAGCAAAAUGCGAUACUUGGUGUGAAUUGCARAAUCCCGCRAAUCAUCGAGUCUUUGAACGCAAGUUGCGCCCGAAGCCUUUAGGCCGAGGGCACGUCUGCCUGGGCGUCAUGCACUGC